UACGUAGGGCGCAAGCGUUGUCCGGAAUUAUUGGGCGUAAAGAGCUCGUAGGCGGCUUGUCACGUCGGGUGUGAAAGCCCGGGGCUUAACCCCGGGUCUGCAUUCGAUACGGGCUGGCUAGAGUGUGGUAGGGGAGAUCGGAAUUCCUGGUGGUAGCGGUGAAAUGCGCAGAUAUCAGGAGGAACACCGGUGGCGAAGGCGGAUCUCUGGGCCAUUACUGACGCUGAGGAGCGAAAGCGUGGGGAGCAAACAGG
rnacentral:rRNA from 1 species